rnacentral:snoRNA from 1 species
AAAGAUGAUUGGAGCUUGCGUGAUUUGCAGAUUAGCAUUUCCAUGCUACCAGGACCUGACGACAUCCUGGUUGC